rnacentral:rRNA from 1 species
CCUACGGGAGGCAGCAGUGGGGAAUAUUGCGCAAUGGGCGAAAGCCUGACGCAGCGACGCCGCGUGAGGGAUGAAGGUCUUCGGAUUGUAAACCUCUGUCAGAAGGGAAGAACGGUCCCUGUGCUAAUCAGCAGUGAAUUGACGGUACCUGCAAAGGAAGCACCGGCUAACUCCGUGCCAGCAGCCGCGGGAAUACGGAGGGUGCGAGCGGUAAUCGGAAUUACUGGGCGAACAGCGCGCGUAGGAGGUAUGUCAAGUCAAGGGGGAAAUCACCGCGCUCAACGUGGGAACUGCCUUUGAAACUGGCAAACUUGAGUGUGUGAGAGGAUAGUGGAAUUCCAGGUGUAGGAGUGAAAUCCGUAGAUAUCUGGAGGAACAUCAGUGGCGAAGGCGACUAUCUGGCACAUAACUGACGCUGAGGAGCGAAAGCGUGGGUAGCAAACAGGAUUAGAUACCCGUGUAGUC